rnacentral:ncRNA from 1 species
AUAAAAUAAUAUAAAUAAGGGAAAUCGGUAAAAUAAAUCCGUAACUUUAAGAAAAAGAUUAACUUUAAAGGUUAAGUGCGUUAAGCCUUUAGCUAAAGCGUUAAGAGCAGGGGGCUAUUAACCGGGUAACCGGCCGAAGGCCUUUAGUACCCGGUGCGGACGCUUUUAACAAACUUCGGCCGUCCGGCGCAUAAUUAAUAAUCAAUUUAAAACUAGUACGGAGAAGGGGAAUUUAACUAUUUAAUUAAAAUAUAAUAUUACGAUAACUAAAAAGUAGUAUUAACGUAAUGUGAUUUUUGUUUAAUGCUUUAAAUAUUAUAGUAAAGAGAUUUAAUUAAGCGCGGGUAAAUAGCGAGAGUAAUUAUAACUCUCUUAAGGUAACCAAAUACUUCGUCAUUUAAUUAAUGACGCGUAUAAAUAAAUUAACGAGAUUCCCAUUAUCCUUAUUUACUAUUUAACGAAACUAUAAUUAAAGGAACGGGCUUAAUAAAAUCAACGGGGAAAGAAGACCUUAUUAAGCUUAACUUUAAUUUAACAUUAUAAAAAGAUAUAAAAGGUAUAGAAUAAGUGGGAGCUUCGGCGCCGGUGAAAUACUACUACUUUUAUUAUUUUUUUACUUAUUUAAUAAAGCGGGGCUAAACGUAUAUUUAACUUUUAAUAUUAAAGUCUUUCGCGGGCCGACCCGGGUUAAAGAUAUUAUUAAGUAAAGAGUUUAAUUAAAGCGGUACAUUUAUUAAACUAUAACGUAAGUGUUUUAAAAGGGGCUUAUAAAGAAUAAAAAUUUUUAAUAAAAUAAAAGGGUAAAAGUCUUUUUAAUUUUAAUUUUUAAUGUAAAUAUAAACUAUAAAAGUGUGGCUUAUUAAUCUUUUAAUUUUUCGAAAUUUAAAGUUAAAAGUAUUAAAAAAGUUAUUAUAAAGAUAACUAAUUUAUAACGGCCAAGCGUUUAUAACGACGUCGCUUUUUAAUUUUUCGAUAUCGGCUCUUCUUAUUAUACCGAAACAAAAUUCGGUAAGCGUUAAAUUAUUUACCUAUUAAUAAAAAACGUAAGCUAGGUUUAAACCGUCGUAAGACAAGUUAAUUUUACCCUAUUAAUAACCUCGCCGUAAUAAUAAUUAAGCUUAAUACGAGAAGAACCGCUUAUUUAAAUAAUUAGUUUUUACGGUUAUCCGACCGGGUAGUGCCGCGAAGUUACCAUCUAUUAAAUAAUGGUUAAACGCCUUUAAAUUAAAAUUUAUACUAAAACGCGGCGACACCUCCCGCACGUUAUAAACGGAUUAAAAUAAGCUUCGGCCUCGUAUCUUAAUAAGCGGUUUUAUUAUUAAGCUAGAAAAAGCUCGGUAGUCUUCCGCGUAUCGUAAUUUUACUACGCGCGGAAUUAAAUCCUUUAUAAACGACUUAGCUAUGCGAAAAGGUUUUAUAAAUAAUAAAGUAACCUUAUUAUUACGAUUUAUUAAGGGUAAGCCUUUUUUCGCCUCGAUUU